rfam:Triticum aestivum genome assembly, contig: Triticum_aestivum_CS42_TGACv1_scaffold_434374_5DL
UUAGUACUUCCUCUGUCCGAAAAUACUUGUCAUCAAAAUGGAUAAAAGGAGAUGUAUCUCGAACUAAAAUACGUCUAGAUACAUUCCCUUUUAUCCAUUUUGAUGACAAGUAUUUCCGGACGGAUGAAAUACUAA